CCUCCCUGCCCUCUGCCCUAUUUAAUGGGCCCCAGCAGAGGCAGCAGCCCCAAGUUUGCCCAUCUGGGCAGAGGGAUCCUCCUCCCGUCGGGACUGUAAAAGGGACAGGAAGAAGUCUGCAGAAUGCUUUGAGAAGCCUUGAGCCUGAAGGAAGCAGCUGAGAUUCCCCAACAAGGAAAAUAGAAUGAAACUGA